rnacentral:rRNA from 1 species
GACGAACGCUGGCGGCGUGCCUAAUACAUGCAAGUAGAACGCUGAAGGAGGAGCUUGCUUCUCUGGAUGAGUUGCGAACGGGUGAGUAACGCGUAGGUAACCUGCCUGGUAGCGGGGGAUAACUAUUGGAAACGAUAGCUAAUACCGCAUAAGAGUAGAUGUUGCAUGACAUUUGCUUAAAAGGUGCAAAUCCAUCACUACCAGAUGGACCUGCGUUGUAUUAGCUAGUUGGUGAGGUAACGGCUCACCAAGGCAACGAUACAUAGCCGACCUGAGAGGGUGAUCGGCCACACUGGGACUGAGACACGGCCCAGACUCCUACGGGAGGCAGCAGUAGGGAAUCUUCGGCAAUGGACGGAAGUCUGACCGAGCAACGCCGCGUGAGUGAAGAAGGUUUUCGGAUCGUAAAGCUCUGUUGUAAGAGAAGAACGAGUGUGAGAGUGGAAAGUUCACACUGUGACGUAUCUACCAGAAAG